UUUAUGGAGAGUUUGAUCCUGGCUCAGGAUGAACGCUGGCGGCGUGCCUAAUACAUGCAAGUCGAGCGAACGGACGAGAAGCUUGCUUCUCUGAUGUUAGCGGCGGACGGGUGAGUAACACGUGGAUAACCUACCUAUAAGACUGGGAUAACUUCGGGAAACCGGAGCUAAUACCGGAUAAUAUUUUGAACCGCAUGGUUCAAAAGUGAAAGACGGUCUUGCUGUCACUUAUAGAUGGAUCCGCGCUGCAUUAGCUAGUUGGUAAGGUAACGGCUUACCAAGGCAACGAUGCAUAGCCGACCUGAGAGGGUGAUCGGCCACACUGGAACUGAGACACGGUCCAGACUCCUACGGGAGGCAGCAGUAGGGAAUCUUCCGCAAUGGGCGAAAGCCUGACGGAGCAACGCCGCGUGAGUGAUGAAGGUCUUCGGAUCGUAAAACUCUGUUAUUAGGGAAGAACAUAUGUGUAAGUAACUGUGCACAUCUUGACGGUACCUAAUCAGAAAGCCACGGCUAACUACGUGCCAGCAGCCGCGGUAAUACGUAGGUGGCAAGCGUUAUCCGGAAUUAUUGGGCGUAAAGCGCGCGUAGGCGGUUUUUUAAGUCUGAUGUGAAAGCCCACGGCUCAACCGUGGAGGGUCAUUGGAAACUGGAAAACUUGAGUGCAGAAGAGGAAAGUGGAAUUCCAUGUGUAGCGGUGAAAUGCGCAGAGAUAUGGAGGAACACCAGUGGCGAAGGCGACUUUCUGGUCUGUAACUGACGCUGAUGUGCGAAAGCGUGGGGAUCAAACAGGAUUAGAUACCCUGGUAGUCCACGCCGUAAACGAUGAGUGCUAAGUGUUAGGGGGUUUCCGCCCCUUAGUGCUGCAGCUAACGCAUUAAGCACUCCGCCUGGGGAGUACGACCGCAAGGUUGAAACUCAAAGGAAUUGACGGGGACCCGCACAAGCGGUGGAGCAUGUGGUUUAAUUCGAAGCAACGCGAAGAACCUUACCAAAUCUUGACAUCCUUUGACAACUCUAGAGAUAGAGCCUUCCCCUUCGGGGGACAAAGUGACAGGUGGUGCAUGGUU
rnacentral:rRNA from 1 species